UCUUCAGCACCCUGAAACGAUAUAGAGCACAUUGGAAUGAUAUAGAGAUUCGCAUGGGCCCUGCACAAAGAUGACACACAAAUUCAUGAACCACUCCAUAUUCAA